UACUGUGAAAAUGCAUAUUAGUAAACUUUUAUAGGGGAAGGAGCAAAACAAUGACAAUGUAAUGAUUUCUAUCUUAAAACAAUACAUCUAAACAUGUAAAAAGCAUUAAAAAAAACAAAAAAAACCUGCUAUAUUAUAGAAUUUCACCUGUGAUUUUGUUGUUGUUUUAAUCUAUUUUAUCACCACUUGGUGGCAAUAUAGGAGCACUGUUGAAUAACUCCUUUUGCAUAACUGUUGCUGGCAGUGUGAAUUAUGAAAGUAAUGCAAUGCGUUCCGCUCUCCAAUUGUCUGAUUUUCAGAAAAGCUAAUUUUUUUUAUUUGAGUUAAACAAGGUCUAUUUGAAAUCUAUAAAAAUGUUAUUAAAUAGGUUACUGAGAGUUUUAUAUUAUGAUUAGAGAUAACAACACUAUUUAAAUUGCACAUUUGCCAUAUAUUAUAAUAAAUUACAAGAUUCAGUUAUAUAAGCACUUUAAAACCUAAACUAUUUGCUACCAAUACCAUGGUGAUAAAAAAAAUAAAUAGUGUCAAUAAGGUUGUAUAAGAAUAUUGUACACAUUUAAUCGUUUUAGACUACAGACAAAAACUUCAUAAAAAUAGCUUUUUUUGUUUUCCCUUAUCUUUUUCUGGUGUUUACAAAUUUUGUGGUUUUAAUUGCAGUUUCCUCUAAUAUUGAUUUUUAUUCUAUUCUGUAUUUGCUCAGAAGCUCAGGAGCUGCUCUUUGGUUUUAGUUUCCUGCCCUAGACAUAUUGUAUAAUGGAGGCAAGAUCUGCCAGUGUCUUAUAUUAGUAAUUCCCACACAGCUGUGCAUAGCAAGGAUAACAACAGAACACUUGUAUUAAAAUGAGCUGUCUUCGUGAUGGGGCAGGCUGUAACUUCUAUAAACACACUAUGUUUGAUCCAGCCUAUGUAAUUUACAAUAUGUCCGGUAAUUUACAAUACAUACUACAAUGGUAAGGGGGCAGUAAAAAAAUAAGGAAUAAAAUGCAAUUUGCAAGUGGUUACUCUUUAACUCCCUUUUAUUGACUCAGAGACUGAUCUGUGGCACAGUUAUCACGCAGUCCCAAGAACGGCAUGUUGUGAAGAACGUGACUUUUACCCCAGCUUCCUUUGUUUAAUCAGCAUGUAUAAUCUACUGCAAAGUACAUUUCUCCAGAUGCACAAAUGAGCUGAUACAGAGAAGCUCCCCUCAGAGUUGAGAAUCAUAAAAAUUGUAAAGUGGAGUUGGGUGGUAUGAGAGGUUGAUUAGAGUUUUUUACACAGGAUUUUAAGACUUUGUUUCUGUUACUAAUUCACUACAACCCCCAUUUCUUACCCUCAUUAAAAAAGUUAUUACCUCCUGGUAGAAACCAAUAAUGUAAUUUUUGAAAACCCUCCAAUCAGCCUAGUUAAAAUAGUUGUUCAAAACGAUACACAUUAAGUUGCUAUGCAACAAAAUAGCUGUAGUGUAAGGAGCCUCUGUUUUGCAGUUAUUUGUGAAAAAGGCUGAUGAGAAAACUGUUCAGAUAAAUAAAAUUGAUUUACAAAUAAUUUUACAUGUGACCAAUAUACAUUAUAUAAACCAGUCACAAGAUGCUUGAUACUGUUAAAUACUAAUAAGAUAUUUUAUAGCAAUAACCUCUCUUUGGUUCCAUCUGAAACUUUCUUAGGUCCAUCUUCUUCCUGAAAUAGAAUUCAGAAACGUUCUCUGUUUGCUGAAAAUACAACUGCUCACCGCUACCAUCCCUGCGCUGAGUCAGGAGGUUACAGACGAACACACGCUGUCCUCUGAGGCGUGUGCCGUCAUCUGACCGCUUCUUUACACGCUGCGGAUUGAUCAUCC